UUAUUAAGCAUCAUAAAUCAAUUUUUUAAUUUUGAUUCUAUUGAAAAAUAUUUUACUGUGACAAAACAAGCAAGUGCUGGUAUGAAUCAAAAUUUUAUUUGAAUUAAUGUUUUGUUGUUCAAAUUGAAUAGUGUGUUGUCAAUGUAUUUGAAAAAAAGGUAGGGGUGCACACACAGAAGUUUAACUUUUCAAACUAUACAAAUAUACUAUGAAGUGGUAUGUACAAACUUAAAAAUUUUAGUUUAUUAUUGCAACAGUUUGUACCCAAACAAGACAGUUCCAUUGAUUGUGGUGCUUAUCUGUGCAAAUUAUGCAUAUCUAAUAUGUUAUUGUUAAAAUUAAUUGACUUUUAGUUUGCCUAUACAUCAUACUGUGUUGUGAUGGAGUGCUCCAAUAUGUUGUCCAAAUUCUAUUGUAAUGGUUAUGCUCUGUCAUAACAUUGUUAAUUAGAUAACUUCAAAAUUUUUGAGGCAAUGGCUUAUGACUCUCAUGCUUCACAGUUUCAGGUGGAAGACAAUAACUAUUAGCGUUGCAACCAGAGUUGCUUAGUGCUGAGCAACUCUUUACAAUGAUUUACAAGCAUUGAAAAGGGAUUUGCAAAAAAAGUAUGGCAUUCCUAGCCCAGGAUAACUACUUUUUAGGCUAGAUUCUAAAGCUCAAUAUAACUAUUUUAAAGGGUCUCCUUAUCUUUAAAGAGCAGUGAUUUCAAGGAUAUCAAACUAUUAUAAUUUUAAUUGAAAUGUGUAAUUAAAUGAAAUCAGUAUCUCAGUAUAGUGUUGCAUGCAAUA